AGAGGGGAAAGGUUCCAU
rnacentral:snRNA from 1 species